UACGAAGGGGGCUAGCGUUGCUCGGAAUGACUGGGCGUAAAGGGCGCGUAGGCGGCUUGCACCGUCAGAUGUGAAAUUCCUGGGCUUAACCUGGGGGCUGCAUUUGAUACGUGUGGGCUUGAGUGCGGAAGAGGGUCGUGGAAUUCCCAGUGUAGAGGUGAAAUUCGUAGAUAUUGGGAAGAACACCGGUGGCGAAGGCGGCGACCUGGUCCGUGACUGACGCUGAGGCGCGAAGCGUGGGGAGCAAACAGG
rnacentral:rRNA from 1 species